rnacentral:lncRNA from 1 species
UCAACACAGGGGAUGGAUAUUCCCGUCCAUGAUUGGAUCUCGGGCCAAAGAUCCCCGGCGCUUCGGAGUUCAGACGCUGAAGAGCUCGACCUCAUCCUGAACUUGGAGCUGUUGUGUUCUUCACAGGCACAACGGGGUUAAAUUCCGUUGCAGAAUCAGUGUUCUUGGUACCAAAAGAAACCAUCUCCUCAUCUUCUCGUGCU